rnacentral:rRNA from 1 species
CCUACGGGAGGCAGCAGUGAGGAAUAUUGGUCAAUGGGCGCGAGCCUGAACCAGCCAAGUCGCGUGAGGGAUGACGGUCCUACGGAUUGUAAACCUCUUUUGCCGGGGAGCAAGCGUGCGUUCGUGAACGCGCGUCGAGAGUACCCGGAGAAAACGCAUCGGCUAACUCCGUGCCAGCAGCCGCGGUAAUACGGAGGAUGCGAGCGUUAAUCGGAAUUACUGGGCGUAAAGGGUGUGCGGGCGGCUGAGUACGACAGAUGUGAAAUCCCCGGGCUUAACCUGGGAACCGCAUAUGUGACUGCUUGGCGAGAGUGCGGCAGAGGGAGGUGGAAUUCCACGUGUAGCAGUGAAAUGCGUAGAUAUGGGGAAGAACACCGAUGGCGAAGGCAGCCUCCUGGGACGCAACUGACGCUCAUACACGAAAGCGUGGGGAGCAAACAGGAUUAGAUACCCGUGUAGUC